rnacentral:rRNA from 1 species
UACGGGGGGGGCAAGCGUUGUUCGGAAUUACUGGGCGUAAAGGGCUCGUAGGCGGCCAACUAAGUCGGAUGUGAAAUCCCCAGGCUCAACCUGGGAACUGCGUCCGAUACUGGCAGGCUUGAAUCCGGGAGAGGGAUGUGGAAUUCCAGGUGUAGCGGUGAAAUGCGUAGAUAUCUGGAGGAAUACCGGUGGCGAAGGCGGCAUCCUGGACCGACAUUGACGCUGAGGAGCGAAAGCUAGGGGAGCAAAAGGG